UAGUGGCAGACGGGUGAGUAAUGCAUAGGAAUCUGCCUAGUAGUAUGGGAUAGCCACUAGAAAUGGUGGGUAAUACUGUAUACGCCCUGCGGGGGAAAGAUUUAUCGCUACUAGAUGAGCCUAUGUUAGAUUAGCUAGUUGGUAGGGUAAAGGCCUACCAAGGCAGUGAUCUAUAGCUGGUCUGAGAGGAUGAUCAGCCACACUGGAACUGAGAUACGGUCCAGACUCCUACGGGAGGCAGCAGUGGGGAAUAUUGGACAAUGGGCGCAAGCCUGAUCCAGCUAUGCCGCGUGAGUGAGGAAGGCCUUAGGGUUGUAAAACUCUUUCAGUGGGGAAGAUAAUGACGGUACCCACAGAAGAAGUCCCGGCAAACUCCGUGCCAGCAGCCGCGGUAAUACGGGGGGGGCAAGCGUUGUUCGGAAUUAUUGGGCGUAAAGGGCAUGUAGGCGGUUCGGUAAGUUAAAGGUGAAAUGCCAGGG
rnacentral:rRNA from 1 species